AAAACUAAUUUUCGUGUGUCUAGAGAAGGUGGUCGUUGUGACGUGACGAACGAUUACGACGUGUUUUCUUACAUCACGAUGUUUUGUGCUUAACGAAACAUCACCCUCAGUGUAAAUAUUAGCACCUAAGGAGACAGAUUAAAUACUAUUUAUACGAUAUACAAAAUAAUGUAAACUAAAAAUCAAACUCCAGACAAAUCUAUCCGGCAGAUAAACAAAAUCGAAGGUAUUGAAAAAUUUAAUGUUAUUUCGCGUAGUCGCCUACAUGCAAAGAUGCUUGAUAUAUUGUAAAUCAAUACAAAAAUCGAAAUACAAAUUUUUACGUAUAAAUCAGUAUCAUCUAAUGGUAUUUUAGAUGGUUUUUUUUUGAGUUAGAAACAUAAUUAUGUUUCUGAAUAAUCGAAUCAAAAAUAACGAUCACUGGAAAGGACAUGAUCAUCUUUUUAUGGAUCCUAGUUUUCAGUUACUUAUGGGAUACCAACUACGGAUAUGUAGAAAUAGUUGAAACUCAAGGUUGCGACACCUGCAAGUUGAUGCUGACGUGUCGCCAUCUGACAGACGUGAUCGCUAUUCUGAAAGUCGAUUUCGUCGGGAUUCAAUCAAAUGGUAUUUUCGAAGUUUCCUCGAGAAACAAUACAUUCGUUAGUGUUAUUAACCCGCCUACUUUCCCUCCAGUCCAUCCCAGGGACGUACUUAAUGCAAGAUGUUCAGGUUUAAAUCAUUGCAGUUUUAUUUUUUCCGAAGACUGUCCAGGUUCGGAAAUAUUUGGUAGAGGAAAUAUAACGAUCGAAUAUGCUUGUAUCACGCAAGACAGAAUUCAUAAUUAUUGCAACGAUAUCAUCCAGCUCUCGGAUUUGUAUGGAAAAGGACUUUCGGAUGGAUACAUUCAUAAUCCCGGUUAUCCUAGAUUCUAUUCGGGACCGGAAUGUAAAUGGAAAAUCGUAGGGCAGGAUAAACAACGUAUUAAAAUAACUAUUCUCGAUAUAGCUUUAAUAGUUGAUCGGCCUAACUGUGCGGAUGUUCUAGAAAUAAAAGAUACAGAACAAGUUAUAUAUUCGACGUGUCGACAGGAACAUCCCCCUUCAGAAAUAAUUUCAGGAACCGAGUCAAUUGAAAUAGUACUGAAAUCUACACAAACGUUUAACCCUCGUAGAGGUGUUUUUAUACAUUAUACUGCUAUUGGAUGUCCCGAUAUUGAAAUUCCCCAAGACGCCUACUUAAUUUAUAGAAAUAUUAAUUUAAUGGUAUUUAGUUGCUGUUUAGGAUACACGUUUCCGGAUACGCGUACUAGAAUCAAAACCGUCGGUUGCCAGGGGGCGUUAUGGAACACUACACUGCCACUUUCGCAUUGUCAAAGUGAGUAUUUUAAUUAAAAUUAUCGACAAAAUCGAAUAUUUUAGAAUUUAGAAACCCAUCGGAAAAAUUUUUCGUACGCCUAUGUGUUAUGCGUCACAAUAUAAUCAGCAGUAAUUUAUCUGACCUUUGAACGUCCGACUAACAUAGUUAAUGUCAAAAUUUUCUUCUUUUAUUAUCUAAAUUCGUUAUUAACGAUAUAUGACGUAGCAACUCGGAAAAAGAAGAAGAAAUGUAACCGAAAUUAAUACAGUUCUUAUUUUAUUUUAACGUAUAAAAGCCAGACAGUGUUUUUUAUUCGGCUGUUAACUUUAUAAUAAAAAUAAGACGCCAUUUAAUAACGUAUUCGAUGUUUUUACCUACUCUUUUAAAUUGUACUUUUCUUACUUUAUCUCUCUAAACCUCCCUUUUCUUUAUCCACCCUUGAUAAAUCCAUCGUCUGUGCAGAAAAUUGAAUUCGAUGUUAUUUACUUUUGAGGAUCUGAUCGUUUCCAGAUGGUUGAACGUUAAAGGGUGUGGACAAUUGCACUGAAGGUUUAAAGAUUGCAAUUUUUUUAGAAAAUUUAUAUUUGAUAUAUUCAUUUUGUAUACGAUUUGUAUACGGGUCCAAUAAUGUUUUUUACACAAUUUUAGUCUUAUUUAUAUUGAUUGUUAGUGAGCUUUUAUGGCGAUUCAAUUUCAACAAUUGUUAAAUGUUGGGGUUCACCGUAUUUUUGGUGAUAAUUUUUUUUUCAUUUUGUCUAUUAUUUUGGUUCAUUUGAGAUAAAACUGGGACUUUAAUUUUAAAACGAAAAUUUCAACUCUUUUGGAUCAUUAAAAAAUCCAAAAAUCAUAAAUUUUCCAUUUUGCCUUAAAAAACUGUAUUUUUUGCUAAGAAUGUGUUUUUUGUAUCGGAAAGUACAUAAAAACAAAAUUUGAUUAAAAAUCUCAACCUAACCUUGAAAAUUACAAUUUUUUGAACAAAUAUUAGGGAGGUCCUCAUUUCCAAAUAAGGUUUUUUCUUUCAAAUUGUAAGUUUUGGUAAAUACUUUUCGAAAAAAAAUGUGAAAUAAAUUUUUCGAUAACAAAUUGAGAAAUUUAUGGUUUUUGGAUUUUUUAUUAACCGAAAAAAUAUGAAAUUUUCGUUUUUAAACCUAGGUUUCAUAUACGCUGAAAAAAUAAACAAACUAUAUGAAAUCAACAUCAACAAAUUGUAAAAAAAUCGUAUAAGUUCAUCAUCGAGAUUAAAUUAAACUCUCCCGUGCAAUUACUCCACGCCUAGAUAAAUAAAGUGAGCUCCAGUAUCCAUUUGGUCGCCAAACGAAAAUUAGUAACAAAAGUUUAGAAACAGUGCGCUGAGAACUAACUAACUAAACGUUUACCGUGUCAUUAUUUUUCUCAUUAACCAAAGUGUCCGCUGGAUUUUUAGAAAUAAAAACAAAUGAAGAAAUAGCGUAAACUAGAAUCAACUACUCCAUAUUGGAAGGAAUCAAAAGAAAUAAUAAGAAUAUUUCCUAGUAAAGUAGAAGACAAUAUGGCUUCAGAACUAGUUUUACCAGCCACUUUAGUCGUAUGUCUAUUUGCUAUAAAUGCUGUAGUCAUAUUUUUCAUAUACAGGGCGAAAAAAAGGAAGUGACGGACGUAAAAGAAGAAGAAUUGAAUUCUUUUACACAUUCUUCACCUGUUGUAUAAGAAUUGCCUUAAUUUAAUUGUAUAAAAAAAUAUUUUUUCUUAUAUAUGUCGGAAUAUAUAUUGUUAUUUCACAUUUUGACUUGAAAAAUAAAAAAAAACAGUA